AUUCCAAACCGUCUCAGACCUGAAAAUUGCUGGACGCUGUUGGUGACUGGUGUGUAUGUAUGUCUAUGCACAUGUGUCUUUCAUUUCCUCUUUCAUACUCAUUCCUUUUUUGCUCUGCUCAGUGAUGAACAGUAGUCUGCAAAUACCGUGUUUUUUGUAUAAUUGCCCGUAUUCAAAGCGUUUGUUCACAAGAGGACUUUGGACCUUUUUUAUAACAUGUUUCGGACCAAUGACCUGGUCUCACCAGCGGCUGGGAUUCUUGGGUAUGCAGUGGGAAAGGCUUCUUAUGUCCCAACCUGCAGAAAUAAGUUCCAGAGACUUGGGCCUGUCUUAAGCCCAGAAUCUGAGGGUUUUGGAUUUGGUCCUGGCCCAUUUGGAGGCUGUUGCUUUGGAGAACGUGGUUCUGGCCCUGGACACAGUUAGUUUGAGACACACUGGAGUCCAAUCCAGAGGAUGUGUCACAUCUACUCCUGCUCAUCCCCUCCGGCAUUCGACGUCACCGGUAUACUAACCACCGGUCCUGGGAUCCAUCAUUACGCACACCUGGCAUUAAUCAUUACACGCACCUGCAUGUCAUCACGAGGCACACCUGGACUCCAUUACCUCAUUUAUUACCUCCCCUUUAUCUGGCACUCCCUAAGGUUCUUUCCCCAGUCAGUAUUGUUCCUGUGUGUAUAUGUAGACGCUACUGUUAUGUUGUCUUGGUCCAUGUUUGGUUUACUAAAUGUUUCACCUGCUUCUUGACUCUGUGUCUCUGCUACAGGAUGCAGUGCAAAUGGACUUGACGAAAUGAUUUGUGUGUGUAUAGUUUUACAAAAAAUAAAGAUUGAGUAUUUACCUCA